rnacentral:rRNA from 1 species
CUGAGAGGGUGAUCGGCCACACUGGGACUGAGACACGGCCCAGACUCCUUCGGGAGGCAGCAGUAGGGUAUUUUCAGCAAUGGACGCAAGUCUGACCGAGCAACGCCGCGUGAGUGAAGAAGGUUUUCGGAUCGUAAAACUCUGUAGUUAGAGAAGAACAAAAAUGAGAGGGAAAGUUCAUCCCUUGACGGUAUCUAACCAGAAAGC